CAAUUCCCCAACUUGUUUUUGAUGUCUUUUGACCAAACUCAAAAUAUGGCUGAUUUCUUUCACAGUAACAACUGCUUAGAAAACUUCAAGAGCCUGAUGACAACUGCAGCAGUGGUUUAGCUCCAUAAGCUGGCUUCGGAGCUAAGCUCAGUGACUCUUACAACAGAAUCAGAUAGCCGUGGAUGGAAAUGGAGUUCAGCAACUAGCUUUUCGGUCAAAUACUAUUAUUCCUUCUUAAUGCAUGGUGGCGC
rnacentral:lncRNA from 1 species